GACGAACGCUGGCGGCGUGCUUAACACAUGCAAGUCGAACGGAAAGGCCCUGCUUUUGUGGGGUGCUCGAGUGGCGAACGGGUGAGUAACACGUGAGUAACCUGCCCUUGACUUUGGGAUAACUUCAGGAAACUGGGGCUAAUACCGGAUAGGAGCUCCUGCUGCAUGGUGGGGGUUGGAAAGUUUCGGCGGUUGGGGAUGGACUCGCGGCUUAUCAGCUUGUUGGUGGGGUAGUGGCUUACCAAGGCUUUGACGGGUAGCCGGCCUGGGAGGGUGACCGGCCACAUUGGUACUGAGAGACGGCCCAGACUCCUACGUGAGGCAGCAGUGGGGAAUAUUGCACAAUGGGCGGAAGCCUGAUGCAGCAACGCCGCGUGCGGGAUGACGGCCUUCGGGUUGUAAACCGCUGUCGCCUGUGACGAAGCGUGAGUGACGGUAAUGGGUAAAGAAGCACCGGCUAACUACGUG
rnacentral:rRNA from 1 species